AAUGAAGUGCCUGAUAAAAGGGUUAUCGUGAUAGGGUAAAUAAUGUACCAAAAAAUACCUUCA
rnacentral:tRNA from 1 species